CCAAUAGCGUAUAUUAAGGUUGCUGCGGUUAAAAAGCUCGUAGUUGAAUUUCGGGAUUGAUGCAUCGGUCGUGCCUUAAGGGGUAUGAACUGGUGUGGUCAAUUUCUUACCUUCUGGUGAAUUGUGAUGUCCUCCUUAAUUGGGUGUUUCAAUGAACUAGGACUUUUUACUUUGAAAAAAUUAGAGUGUUUAAAGCAGGCAUUAUUUGCUUGAAUACAUUAGCAUGGAAUAAUAAAAUAGGACAAUGAUUCUAUUUUGUUGGUUUCUAGGAUCACUGUAAUGAUUAAUAGGGAUAGUUGGGGGCAUUAGUAUUCAAUUGUCAGAGGUGAAAUUCUUGGAUUAAUUGAAGACUAACUACUGCGAAAGCAUUUGCCAAGGAUAUUUUCAUUAAUCAAGAACGAAAGUUAGGGGAUCGAAGACGAUUAAGUACGUCGUAGUCUUAACCAUAAACUAUGCCGACUAGGAAUCAGACAACGUUAAAUUUUUAAUGACUUGUUUGGCACCUUACG
rnacentral:rRNA from 1 species